rnacentral:rRNA from 1 species
UACUUAUGAUGGCGACCGGCGCACGGGUGCGUAACGCGUAUGGCAACCUACCUUUUACAGGGGCGUAACACUGACGAAAUUGGUACUAAUUCCCCAUAAUAUCUGAGACGGCAGUCGUUUUAGGGUUGAAACUCCGGUGGUAAAAGAUGGGCAUGCGUUGUAUUAGCUAGUUGGUGAGGUAACGGCUCACCAAGGCGACGAUACAUAGGGGGACUGAGAGGUUAACCCCCCCACAUUGGUACUGAGACACGGACCAAACUCCUACGGGAGGCAGCAG